rnacentral:rRNA from 1 species
GUGAGGAAUAUUGGUCAAUGGGCGCAAGCCUGAACCAGCCAUCCCGCGUGAAGGAAGAAGGCGCUAUGCGUUGUAAACUUCUUUUCCAGGGAAAUAAAAUUUCGUACGUGUACGGAACUGAAGGUACCCUGGGAAUAAGCAUCGGCUAACUCCGUGCCAGCAGCCGCGGUAAUACGGAGGAUGCAAGCGUUAUCCGGAUUUAUUGGGUUUAAAGGGUGCGCAGGCGGAAAAAUAAGUCAGUGGUGAAAUCCUGCAGCUUAACUGUAGAAUUGCCGUUGAUACUGUUAUUCUUGAGUGUGGUCAAGGUAGGCGGAAUGUGUAAUGUAGCGGUGAAAUGCUUAGAUAUUACACAGAACACCGAUUGCGAAGGCAGCUUACUGGGCCAUUACUGACGCUCAUGCACGAAAGCGUGGGGAUCGAACAGGAUUAGAAACCCCAGUAGUCC